ensembl:lncRNA CCDC144NL-AS1 CCDC144NL antisense RNA 1
CGACCGGGAGCGUGUGUGGUGCGCGCCUGCCUUGAGGCCAGGCCUCAGAGAAGGGUGUCCCAGAUGUAGGCAAAGCGUCCUCCAUGUGUUCCUGGAGGACCGUCCCAAGUCCUUCUCCAUUCUCCCAACCUCUUGGGCCUGGGAUGUCCUCCACCUUUUCAAUCUGAUUUGCUCUUUGCCAUGCAGACCUGUGGAUGAAGAGCCAGAGUCCUCCAAGGUGAAGCUGGACUGAAUAUUUCUGUCCAUAAGACUAUUAGAAUCCCCCAAAGUGGGAUACCAGUGAGGACCUCACCAGCAGCUGCUGUCUCUCCAAUGCAGGUGAUCUCAGGGCCUGUCCCUCUCCAUGGGGCCUCUCCACCUGGACGACUUGAGUGGUGCUCAAAGCUCCCAAGGGAGCAAACACCGAGGCUGUCAGGCCUUCUUGAGGCGGAGGCCCAGAGUGGCACAGCCUCACCCCCACGGCACUCUCCUGGAAUGAGUCCCAGAUAGUCCACAAGGGUGUGAUGUUGGGUGACCGUGCU